ACGGGUGAGUAACGCGUGGGAAUCUACCCAUCUCUACGGAAUAACGCAUGGAAACGUGUGCUAAUACCGUAUACGUCCUUCGGGAGAAAGAUUUAUCGGAGAUGGAUGAGCCCGCGUUGGAUUAGCUAGUUGGUGGGGUAAAGGCCUACCAAGGCGACGAUCCAUAGCUGGUCUGAGAGGAUGAUCAGCCACACUGGGACUGAGACACGGCCCAGACUCCUACGGGAGGCAGCAGUGGGGAAUAUUGGACAAUGGGCGCAAGCCUGAUCCAGCCAUGCCGCGUGAGUGAUGAAGGCCCUAGGGUUGUAAGGCUCUUUCACCGGUGAAGAUAAUGACGGUAACCGGAGAAGAAGCCCCGGCUAACUUCGUGCCAGCAGCCGCGGUAAUACGAAGGGGGCUAGCGUUGUUCGGAUUUACUGGGCGUAAAGCGCACGUAGGCGGACUAUUAAGUCAGGGGUGAAAUCCCGGGGCUCAACCCCGGAACUGCCUUUGAUACUGGUAGUCUUGAGUUCGAGAGAGGUGAGUGGAAUUCCGAGUGUAGAGGUGAAAUUCGUAGA
rnacentral:rRNA from 1 species